rnacentral:rRNA from 1 species
UGGGGAAUUUUGGACAAUGGGCGAAAGCCUGAUCCAGCAAUGCCGCGUGUGUGAAGAAGGCCUUCGGGUUGUAAAGCACUUUUGUCCGGAAAGAAAUCCUUGGCUCUAAUACAGUCGGGGGAUGACGGUACCGGAAGAAUAAGCACCGGCUAACUACGUGCCAGCAGCCGCGGUAAUACGUAGGGUGCAAGCGUUAAUCGGAAUUACUGGGCGUAAAGCGUGCGCAGGCGGUUUGCUAAGACCGAUGUGAAAUCCCCGGGCUCAACCUGGGAACUGCAUUGGUGACUGGCAGGCUAGAGUAUGGCAGAGGGGGGUAGAAUUCCACGUGUAGCAGUGAAAUGCGUAGAGAUGUGGAGGAAUACCGAUGGCGAAGGCAGCCCUCUGGGCCAAUACUGACGCUCAUGCACGAAAAGCGUGGGGAGCAAAACAGGAUUAGAUACCCUGGUAGUCCACGCCCUAAAACGAUGUCAACUAGUUGUUGGGGAUUCAUUUCCUUAGUAACGUAGCUAACGCGUGAAGUUGACCGCCUGGGGAGUACGGUCGCAAGAUUAAAACUCAAAUGAAUUGACGGGGUCAUAGCUGUUUCCU